GAGACAGUUCGGUCCCUAUCCGUCGUGGGCGUAGGAAAUUUGAGAGGAGCUGUCCUUAGUACGAGAGGACCGGGAUGGACACACCGCUGGUGUACCAGUUGUUCCGCCAGGAGCAUAGCUGGGUAGCUACGUGUGGAAAGGAUAAGUGCUGAAAGCAUCUAAGCAUGAAGCCCCCCUCAAGAUGAGACUUCCUUGUACUUUAAGUGCAUAAGAUCCCUCAGAGACGAUGAGGUUGAUAGGUCCGAGGUGGAAGCGUGGCAACACGUGCAGCUGACGGAUACUAAUUGAUCGAGUACUUAACUAU
rnacentral:rRNA from 1 species